UUCAUCUUUAUUACCAACUCGUAUAUAAACUAUAAGUAUAGAUUAACAAUUACACAUAUAUACAAUAAUACAACUGUCAGUUAGCAUGCAAAGGGGAUUUUUUUAUUGAAUACAGGCAGAUUUAUAACAUUUCUCAUGCAUAAUCAUAAAUACAAUGAUAAAAAAAAAAUGAAAUAUACUGCAUUCUAAACGAUUACAACUACAUCGAGUAAUGUGAUGUUGAAAUGUUUUAUGUUUCUAUUCAAGGAAAUCGAAUGUUGUUUUUUUAACUCAAUUAUCAAUUAUGAUCUUUUGCUCUAUUCAUUUGUUCAGUUAUAACUGUACUUGAUCCUUCCUGUCACUGUUUAUAACUAAAUGUUUAAAACAACUUCACUCUUUCUUCAACAGGCCAAGAACAUUUCUUGUAUUUUCAUAAAGUAUUAUUUAUACUGACAAAAAUCAGCAUCAUCGUCUCUAUCAUCAACAUCUAAGUCAUUAUCACAGAAUGAUAUUAUUUUUCAAUCUUUAUUCUUUUUUUUCUACAUUCUGGAAUAUAGUUGCUCCUAUAAUAUAUAAUAAGUUAUUGACUUUAAAUUGAGGCUCAAAUAUUAUAAUAUAUGUACAGUAAUAUUGUAUCAUGGAGAAGACGUCAUAAGUAUGAUUAACUAUGAAUAGCGUCACUGAUGAGGCUUAUGUAGACGAAACGCGCGUCUGGCGUAUUAAAUUAUAAUAUAUACUAGGGUCUCGUCCAUCUUUCUUUAAAGACGCAAAUUCAAUAUGAUUAAACUACGUCAGGUCACAUUAACACACAGAAAUAGCUGUUAUUUCAGCUGCAUUCAUCAGGGGUAUUGUUCGGUGAAAAAAAAAUAUGUAAAAAAAAAAGUGCAAACUAUAAAUUGCAUUUUGACAGAUUUGCAUGUAGAACUACGCAUUCAAGCGAUCACUAUGAUGACGUACAUAUAUCUAUACCCAUAUAUCAACAGUUGUAUAACUUUAACUGAUGAUAAUUGGUUAAGGAUGUUUGCUACACUGUUUUAAAAUAACAAGCUUUUUAAAAG
rnacentral:lncRNA from 1 species